UACGUAGGCAGCGAGCGUUGUUCGGAGUUACUGGGCGUAAAGAGUGCGUAGGCGGUUUUCUAAGUUUGGUGUGAAAUCUCCCGGCUUAACUGGGAGGGUGCGCCGAAGACUGGAAGGCUUGAGUAUGGGAGAGGUAAGCGGAAUUCCUGGUGUAGCGGUGAAAUGCGUAGAUAUCGGGAGGAACACCUGUGGCGAAAGCGGCUCACUGGACCACAACUGACGCUGAUGCACGAAAGCUAGGGGAGCAAACAGG
rnacentral:rRNA from 1 species